UACGUAGGGUGCGAGCGUUGUCCGGAAUUAUUGGGCGUAAAGGGCUCGUAGGCGGUUUGUCGCGUCGGGAGUGAAAUCCACUGGCUUAACUGGUGGCUUGCUUUCGAUACGGGCAGACUGGAGGUAUGCAGGGGAGAACGGAAUUCCUGGUGUAGCGGUGAAAUGCGCAGAUAUCUGGAGGAACACCGGUGGCGAAGGCGGCAUCCUGGACCGACACUGACGCUGAGGAGCGAAAGCCAGGGGAGCAAACGGG
rnacentral:rRNA from 1 species